GGGCCUGUAGCUCAGCUGGCUAGAGCGCACCCCUGAUAAGGGUGAGGUCACAGGUUCGAGUCCUGUUAGGCCCA
rnacentral:tRNA from 1 species